UCGGGAAUUUUGGACAAUGGGCGAAAGCCUGAUCCAGCCAUGCCGCGUGAGUGACGAAGGCCUUAGGGUUGUAAAACUCUUUCGUCGGGGACGAUAAUGACGGUACCCGAAGAAGAAGCUCCGGCUAACUUCGUGCCAGCAGCCGCGGUAAUACGAAGGGAGCUAGCGUUGUUCGGAAUCACUGGGCGUAAAGCGCACGUAGGCGGAUAGUUAAGUCAGGGGGUGAAAUCCUGGGGCUCAACCCCAGAACUGCCUUUGAUACUGGCUGUCUCGAGGUCGAGAGAGGUUGGUGGAAUUCCUAGUGUAGAGGUGAAAUUCGUAGAUAUUAGGAAGAACACCAGUGGCGAAGGCGGCCAACUGGCUCGAUACUGACGCUGAGGCGCGAAAGCGUGGGGAGCAAACAGGAUUAGAUACCCCUGUAGUCCCUGAGCGGGCUGGCAAGGCGCAU
rnacentral:rRNA from 1 species